ACACGAGGGGACAUUGGCCAGCCAGGCGAGCCGGGGCUGAAAGGUGCCAGGGGAACUCGAGGCACACCAGGUCGGCCUGGAGUCAUGGGAAUAGAAGGCCAACCCGGACUGGCAGGAUACACAGGUCACCCUGGCAAGCCUGGGCCCAUUGGACCACCA